GACGAACGCUGGCGGCAUGCUUAACACAUGCAAGUCGAACGGAAAGGCCCUGCUUUUGUGGGGUGCUCGAGUGGCGAACGGGUGAGUAACACGUGAGUAACCUGCCCUUGACUUUGGGAUAACUUCAGGAAACUGGGGCUAAUACCGGAUAGGAGCUCCUGCUGCAUGGUGGGGGUUGGAAAUUUUCGGCGGUUGGGGAUGGACUCGCGGCUUAUCAGCUUGUUGGUGGGGUAGUGGCUUACCAAGGCUUUGACGGGUAGCCGGCCUGAGAGGGUGACCGGCCACAUUGGGACUGAGAUACGGCCCAGACUCCUACGGGAGGCAGCAGUGGGGAAUAUUGCACAAUGGGCGGAAGCCUGAUGCAGAAACGCCGCGUGCGGGAUGACGGCCUUCGGGUUGUAAACCGCUUUCGCCUGUGACGAAGCGUGAGUGACGGUAAUGGGUAAAGAAGCACCGGCUAACUACGUG
rnacentral:rRNA from 1 species